UUUACCUUCAUUUAUUGGGAAAGGAAGAUUUUAGAUGGUUAAAGUCACAUUUGGUUGAAUUUCCUCAGAAGAAAUAGUCUUACUACAAAAGAGAUUGUCUGAGACAGUCUACUGACAGAUUCCCUCUGCCUGCUUGUGAAGGCUGUCAGAGAAGAAAGCAAUCGUACACAGUGGGACUGACUUCUAUAAGUCACAUUGGAUAAAAAGAAGAAAGAAUUAUACUUUGGCCAAAUGCCAACAAUGAGGAAUGUUCUGUAAAGCAGUCCUAUAUGAUUCAGUGGCAGUCACUGUGGGGCAUUUGAGGAAACUGAUCAUCAGAGCUCAAAAUAUUCCCUUUAUGAGUACAGGAAAACUCCCAUCCCUUUUUGCUGAAAUGGAGCUGUACCUUGUCACAGGGUUGUUCUGGGUAACAUCAGUUGUGACUAAGGCCCUUCCCCACCAAAGCAAGCCCUCAGAAGAGGACUGUAUUACUGCAGCAGAACAGCUAAGCGGAGCGAGUCCUUCCCACGUGCCUAGAACCCUGCAAAGCUCUCC
rnacentral:lncRNA from 1 species